AUGUGCACUUUCUGUACUUUUCCUUGCUCAGACAGUAUAGAUGCAGGUUGGAUGGGCUUCCCGUUUGUGAGCUUGAGUACUGCAUUUGUUGACACUGUUUACCAACAUGCAGGAAUCAGAUCAUUAAACUUCCCGUUGUCCUUGCCAGGGUCCCACUGCCAUUGUGCAUCCUUUUCAAAUGAGUAUUCCCACAAGGAAAAAAAUGCUCUUGCCUUGUAUCUGCUGUUGUGCAGGGAUUAUAGCAUCACAUCCAGUUACGGGGAAAAUAUGCAGAAUCCCAUGUAUUCAGAGAGUGCUAUCUAA
rnacentral:rRNA from 1 species